rnacentral:rRNA from 1 species
UACGAAGGGUGCAAACGUUGCUCGGAAUUAUUGGGCGUAAAGCGCACGUAGGCGGCAUUGCAGGUCGGAUGUGAAAUCUUAUGGCUUAACCAUAAAAGUGCAUCCGAAACUGCAGUGCUUGAGUACUUAAGAGGAUCGCGGAAUUCCCGGUGUAGAGGUGAAAUUCGUAGAUAUCGGGAGGAACACCAGUGGCGAAGGCGGCGAUCUGGGAAGAUACUGACGCUGAGGUGCGAAAGCGUGGGGAGCAAACAGG